CCGCGCCAAGGGACGUCAGUUUGGGUCAAAGUGCAACUCUGGGGACCGGAUUGGCUGUGGCAUUGAGCCUGUGUCCUUCGAUGUGCAGACUGCCCAGAUCUUCUUCACCAAAAACGGGAAGCGGGUGGGCUCCACCAUCAUGCCCAUGUCCCCAGAUGGGCUCUUCCCAGCAGUUGGUAUGCAUUCCCUGGGUGAGGAGGUGAGGCUGCACCUCAAUGCCGAGCUGGGCCGUGAGGAUGACAGCGUCAUGAUGGUGGACAGUUAUGAAGAUGAAUGGGGCCGGCUGCAUGAUGUCAGAGUCUGUGGGACGGGAUGGAAUUUUGGUACUCAGGCUUGGCAGCAGGUGCCCCCAUGGAGCCACCCCUGUGGGCUGAGGAACGAGUCUCUUGAAGGACAUAUGCCCUUUUAGUUUUGCCAAUGGUCCCAUCUUUCAAAUGAAGAUAACUUGCCCGGUC
rnacentral:lncRNA from 1 species